UAAAGAUCGAUGAUGACCUAAUGCCCAGCCCGGUUUCAAAGGCCCAAGGGGGUGGGUCUUCAGCCUCCUCCCUCCUUCCCUCCCUCCCUCCAGGUUUAAUUAUCGGAAGAGUCUUUGGACUUUAGGAGACAGUAAAGAGAAAGAAGACCUGCAAAUGAUUAAACCAGAAACCCAAUGACCUUCCUCCGUGCUAGGAAGGAAUAUGGAGGAGGCAACAAGGUCUGCAGGCCAGGAACUCCCUGAAGGGGAUCCCGCCUAGGGACAGCCAGAAGGAGCUUGGGAAGAUUCAGGCAGAUUCCCGCUUCGGGGUUUGGGGGAAGAAGCUGAAUGACUGCAAAUCUUUGCUGGAAACCUACAGCCAAAAGGCUAUCUCUUUUAGAAACUCCAGAGUUCAAAUUCCAUCUGGCCCUCAUGCUUUUGCCAAGGCCAGGAUGGACCUCGUGGUUUUCCACAUAAGAAUGUUCUGCAUGUUUAAGAAAACAACACGAAUGCUAGACAUCCUGGCAUCUUCGCUCCUUGUGGGAGAGAUAGCUGAUGAAAGUGCAGAAGAGUGCAGUCAGGUGGGAAAUUAUGAGAUGGCUGCCUUGGGCAUCCUUUUUAACUGAAAGAUCUGGGAGAAAUUCACCACUGUCCAUAUUCCGCUCUCUUAAAUCAGAGACUGGCCACAGCAGCAGGGGUUAUUGAAGAAGUAUGAAUUUCAGAGCUAAUGUGAUCUUCAGGAUUAUGACAUUCUGGGAGGCGUGAUAAAAAUAUUGAAGUUGAAUAGAAAUGAUGAUAGAAUACUUGAAUCUUAGAGUGUUUGAAACUUAGUAAGGACUUAAUAGAUUUUUCCAACUGUUUAUUAAUUUUUAUGUAUUCAUUCUAAUUCUGGAUUAUCUUUGGGUUCCACUGACAUAGUUUAAAAUCUAGUUUUGAUAAUUUUUUUCAUAAGGUCUUAAUUUUGGAUGCAUAGAUGAUACUAGGUUUAAAUCCCAGGGCAAUGAAUAAAAGAAUGAAUGGAGGAAUGAAUGGAGGAAUG
rnacentral:lncRNA from 1 species